rnacentral:rRNA from 1 species
CCUACGGGUGGCAGCAGUGGGGAAUAUUGGGCAAUGGGCGCAAGCCUGACCCAGCAACGCCGCGUGAAGGAAGAAGGCUUUCGGGUUGUAAACUUCUUUUCUCAGGGACGAAGCAAGUGACGGUACCUGAGGAAUAAGCCACGGCUAACUACGUGCCAGCAGCCGCGGUAAUACGUAGGUGGCAAGCGUUAUCCGGAUUUACUGGGUGUAAAGGGCGUGUAGGCGGGACUGCAAGUCAGAUGUGAAAACCAUGGGCUCAACCUAUGGCCUGCAUUUGAAACUGUAGUUCUUGAGUACUGGAGAGGCAGACGGAAUUCCUGGUGUAGCGGUGAAAUGCGUAGAUAUUAGGAGGAACACCAGUGGCGAAGGCGGCUUACUGGACAGUAACUGACGUUGAGGCUCGAAAGCGUGGGGAGCAAACAGGAUUAGAUACCCGAGUAGUC